UGUUAAUGAGAUACCCGUAAAUGUAUAUAAACAAACCGUAUACUUCGCCGUAGAUUAUUAUUGAAUUUGUUGAGGUUGCAGUAGCCUCGAGACCAGGCCGAUUAUCGAGGCUACGAUUGCAGUUGCGGUUGCAGGCUCAGCUGCUAUUUACAUCUCUCUCUCUAUCCUCCUCAUAGCAGCUCUGUGUGCAUGCGAUUAUAGACGAUUCCUAAAGAGAUUAAGGCUGAACAGCAAAGUGAUGACAAAGCUCUCCCAAAAUCAGCUCCAAACUGCCCACUCUUAAUGCCGAGAGUGAGCUUAUGGUUGAGUGAGUCUGAUGCAGUACCAGCGUAAUAAUUUAUAGUUGAAAGUUGCAUAAUUAUAUAUAGAUCUAUGCAUCACAAGGACGGACGAAGCGAGGGACAAGGCUCCAAGUCCAAACUGUCCACUCUUAAUGAGAGUGAGCUUACGGUGGUAUGCAGUACCAGCGUAAUAAUUGUUGUCAUGAAAGUUUGUAUAUGCAUCACAGGAUGGACGAAGCGAGGGACAAUUAAGGCUCCCCUUCUCAUCUUAAUGGUAGUGAGCUUAUGGUGCCGGAUGGACAAAGCGAGGGACAAAGCUCUCCCAAACCAAAUGACUGUGCACUGUUUGCAGCUGCAUAUUGUACCAGCAUUGCACAUGGACUAGAUCCAUGUUCCCUCGUUUACGACCAGCAGCAAAUGAGGGACCACUUGUACAAGUGUUUCACUACAAAAACAAUGGAUCUCUUUACUGUCUUCCGAACAAAAAGACCAGGACCUGCACGCACUUUGAAAAUCCCUGUCUAUUGCUACUGUCGAUGUGCAGAUGAUGGCCAAGGAAUGGUAGGCUGUGACGGAUGUGAAGAUUGGUAGAUGCAUCAACGCCGCCAAAGUAAAAAAGGGAUUAUGGUAUUGCACCAAGUGUCGAUAAAGUAGUUAGAAUCAAUGACUUUAUAGUCAACAAGUAGUCCUUAUAAUUAUUUUAUGU